rnacentral:rRNA from 1 species
CGCGGCCUAUCAGCUUGUUGGUGAGGUAACGGCUCACCAAGGCAACGACGGGUAGCUGGUCUGAGAGGACGAUCAGCCACACUGGGACUGAGACACGGCCCAGACUCCUACGGGAGGCAGCAGCAGGGAAUAUUGCACAAUGGGCGAAAGCCUGAUGCAGCGACGCCGCGUGGGGGAUGAAGGCCUUCGGGUUGUAAACCCCUUUCAGGAGGGACGAAGCGAAAGUGACGGUACCUCCAGAAGAAGCCCCGGCCAACUACGUGCCAGCAGCCGCGGUAAUACGUAGGGGGCGAGCGUUGUCCGGAUUUAUUGGGCGUAAAGGGCUCGUAGGCGGUUGCGUAAGUCGGACGUGAAAACUCAGGGCUCAACCCUGAGAUGCCGUUCGAUACUGCGCUGACUAGAGUCCGGUAGGGGAGCAUGGAAUUCCCGGUGUAGCGGUGAAAUGCGCAGAUAUCAGGAGGAACACCAGUGGCGAAGGCGGUGCUCUGGGCCGGAACUGACGCUGAGGAGCGAAAGCAUGGGUAGCAAACAGGAUUAGAUACCCUGGUAGUCCAUGCCGUAAACGUUGGGCACUAGGUGUGGGUCUCAACCAACGAGAUCCGCGCCGUCGCUAACGCAUUAAGUGCCCCGCCUGGGGAGUACGG